GUGGAAUUCUAUCUAUUUGAUGUUGGAAACGGCAUUGAAAUUUGAAAAAACUUUCGAUAGGUUAGAAGAAGAGGAUGCUUAGUAUUUGCAUUAGAUGAUGAUAAUGGUAGAAGGAGGGGUGGACCUCCAUCAAAUUUAGAUUGGGAAAGUGCAUCUGUUUUUUUAAAUUUCUUGAAAAUUUCUUCAAUGUGACUUUGAAGUUUAGUGCUUCAUUGCAAGUUAGUGCUUGUGCUUAUCUUCAUGAAAUUUGUAAUCUUGUAAUCGAAUUAGAUGAAUGAAGAUUAAGUUGAAAUUAUUUGUUGGGUGAAAUGGCGA
rnacentral:lncRNA from 1 species